GGAUGGGAGGAACAUGUGAGGAAUUGGAAUAGUCAGACUUUGAGAGGUAAUACUGAGUUGAUUUGGCUGAUCUGGCUCACUCAUCGCUCCAUGUGCAUCCCUCCCAAAGCUGUAUGUGUGAUCAAAGAGGAUGACUUUCUCUAGGAGAGAAGAGGAUCGCUCUUCGGCCAAAGGUAUACAAGAAGCUGUGCUCCCUUGCUAGAACCUCCAAACAAGCUUCCAAGGUCCAUUUGUAGGGGAACAUAGCAUAGUCAAGCUUCCAAGACUCCAGACACAUCCAAAUGAGGUGCUGCAUGUAGCAGUCUGCCUUUCUUA
rnacentral:snRNA from 1 species